AGAGCGAGGGGGCGGAUGUUUAGAAGAAAUAAAUAUAAAGAGAGCGAGGGGGCGGAUGUAGCCAAGUGGAUCAAGGCAGUGGAUUUGUGA
rnacentral:tRNA from 1 species